rnacentral:lncRNA from 1 species
UUUUUUCCCCCCAAGUUUGUCUGUGUUGUUUUUUUUUUCCUAAUUGGCCAAUGCGGUGUUUAUCCUGAUAAUGGUUUCAAUUAUAAAGGGGCAUUUUCAGGCCGUAUUCCUGGAAAUGAGAUGCCGGAUGGGUCGAUAAGGUUUGCACAUGUGCUUCAUGCGUGCAUCAUCGGGAGAUCAAUAUGAUUGCGCUGGAGCUGUUGCCUGUGUCAAGGAUGGCCAGCUCAGGACCUUCAAUUUGAUAAAGAGCAUGUCUGCAUAAAGUUUUCUGCAGGUGUGAAUAGAACUGCAAGCAAAAGCUGAUUAUUUGAAAGAGAUCUGGAUUUGGGUUGAGGAAAUUUGGAAGCCUGUCUUGACACGUCUCUGCCUAAAAUUCAGGAGAGAUGAAGAAGCCUCUAGGACCCUCCCGUUGUCCUGGAUGCAUGCAUCAUCUGAUCUGGUUUCUCAUACAACUGAUAAAACUCAUACAACUCCCACGGAAAGAGCUCAAAUAAAGUCAGCAAAGUCAGACCAAGAAGGCAGUGUCGUGGGAGCUUUGAAGGCUCAGAAGCUGUGGAAAGGACAACAUUUCAGGGUUUUUCACUUCACAAAUUGCCUCUGCAAGAAGAACCAGUGGUGGAAAGUAAAGGCUGUAACCCUGUAUUCAGAAAAUGAAAAUUAUCACAACGCUGAGGCAGAUCACACCAGACUGCCUGUUAUGCCGCUGCUUAGGCUUGUCCUUUAGCCACAACCCUCUAGUGGAACAGGCUGGGAUUUCAGUCGCGUGUGGGAAAUGUCUCCAGUGUCUUUCAAACGGCAUGCCACAAGGGAUGCUUGCCUUGAGACCACUCUGAUCAUACCCGAGCUCUGAUGCUCUGAAAGGCAUAUAGAAAGACAGAUGUGCAGCGAGCAGCUGUACAGAAGGACAUUUAUUCUGUGUUCCUUGAGGAGUACUCCCACCAAGUCCAUGGGAUCCCCUGAGUCUGGGGUCUAUGAGGUGUGCUGCUCUCUUGGAUGUCCUGCCUUUGCCCAUUGCCUUCAUGUCACAUUGAGGACUAUGUGUGGCUGCUCCCUCCUGAUUCCCUCCUGAAGCCUCAACUGUUUUGCUCUUGGCUUCCGAGCUUUGGUGGCCAUUCCCCUUUUUANNNNNNNNNNNNNNNNNNNNNNNNNNNNNNAAAAAAAAAAAAAAACAAAAAAAACCUUCUAUUAAUAUGGAUUCCUUGUAAAAGAAGACAAAAAAAGAGAGAGAUCCCAAGGUGAAAGGAGAAUUGU